AGCUCCAAUAGCGUAUAUUAAAGUUGUUGCAGUUAAAACGCUCGUAGUCGUAUUUCGGGGCGGGCUGCUCGGUCUGCCGAUGGGUAUGCACUGGGUGGCGCGUCCUUCCUUCCGGAGACCGCGCCUACUCUUAACUGAGCGGGCGCGGGAGACGGAACGUUUACUUUGAAAAAAUCAGAGUGUUUCAAGCAGGCAUCUCGCUCUUGCAUGGAUUAGCAUGGGAUAAUGAAAUAGGACUUUGGUGCUAUUUUGUUGGUUUCGAACACCGAAGUAAUGAUUAACAGGGACAGUCAGGGGCACUCGUAUUCCGUCGAGAGAGGUGAAAUUCUCAGACCAACGGAAGACGAACCACUGCGAAAGCAUUUGCCAGGGAUGUUUUCA
rnacentral:rRNA from 1 species